rnacentral:rRNA from 1 species
ACAGGUGGUGCAUGGUUGUCGUCAGCUCGUGUCGUGAGAUGUUGGGUUAAGUCCCGCAACGAGCGCAACCCCUAUUGCUAGUUACCAUCAUUAAGUUGGGGACUCUAGCGAGACUGCCAGUGAUAAACUGGAGGAAGGUGGGGAUGACGUCAAAUCAUCAUGCCCCUUAUGACCUGGGCUACAAACGUGAUACAAUGGCUGGAACAAAGGGAUGCGAAGCAGUGAUGUGGAGCGAAACCCAUAAAAACAGUCUCAGUUCGGAUUGAAGUCUGCAACUCGACUUCAUGAAGUCGGAAUCGCUAGUAAUCGCGGAUCAGAACGUCACGGUGAAUACGUUCCCGGGCCUU